UACGUAGGGUGCAAGCGUUGUCCGGAAUUAUUGGGCGUAAAGAGCUCGUAGGCGGUUUGUCGCGUCUGCUGUGAAAACUCGGGGCUUAACCCCGGGCCUGCAGUGGGUACGGGCAGACUAGAGUGCGGUAGGGGAGACUGGAAUUCCUGGUGUAGCGGUGAAAUGCGCAGAUAUCGGGAGGAACACCGGUGGCGAAGGCGGUUCUCUGGGCCUUACCUGACGCUGAGGAGCGAAAGCGUGGGGAGCGAACAGG
rnacentral:rRNA from 1 species